CUAGGCUCCAUUUAAUAGCUGACUACCAGUGUGGAUGGAUCUCUUUUGGAGAUUGCUCCUCUUACAGUCUUCUCAGUGGGCCCAGGACAAGGCCCCAUAUGUAAGUGGAAAUCUGCAGAAUCGUGGAACAGAAAGCAAAAGAGUAGAAAGGAGAAAAAGUGAAAUAUAUCUUUGAUGGAAAACCAAUACACCACUUCUCAAAUGAACAGAGGGAAUUUCUCAAGUAAGAAGAGUGAUGCUCUGAGGUGUAAUGCUACAGGCAGAAGCUCAUUGGGUUUCCUCCCAAGUCCAGUGUGGAGCACUCCCAGGAGAAGCAACUUCUACAGGGGCCUGACUGAACCCUGGACUGCUUGCAUGCCUGUUUCUUCAGCCUCAGCUCUUCUAAAAGACUACACAGGGAGAACUCAUCUCACGCACAGUACACAAUGGCCCAUGGUCAUCACCUCUGGUGCCAGCAGUCAGGCAAUCCUUCAUGUAUUUUUAUGCAUGUGGCAGGGUGUAUUUGGGAGGCAAGCCUUUAUUACACUACCAUGGACAGAAAGACUUUGACCUCAUCAUUCAAGCAUGACUGUAGAAAGAGAAGAAGCACUCACAACCGUAUUAAAUAACAGUUGUUGCUUUGCUGCUACCUGGAAGCUACUUUGUUCUGUUACUUGAGUCAACAAAACAGACGACCACCAAGUUCUAGUUUAAGCCUCCCUUUACUUGUAGCUCAGCCUUAAGUUCAAACCAAUGGUGUACUUCCUCCCAUAGAACUGAACUGGGUAGAAGAAGACAAGGCAAGCAAAUCUCAAAUAGAAAAAUAGCAAAUAAAUUACAGUAUACCCACAUCUCCAGUGUACAGCAUUCUUUUCACUGCUGGUAUCUUCGGCGGUAAGGCUGUUGCAAAAACAGCAGGCUUUGGUUGUUCUUAUCAUUCCACUUCCGCAACUCUGCCUUCAGAGUCGACUUAAGGCCAAAAUGUUCCUGUGACAAAUAUAAUAAAUGGUCCUUACAUGAUUGUAUGUCUUGACUCAUCUGAAUUUGAGCAGUCAAAUUGAGAAGAAAGAAGUAUAAGCUGUGGGUAAGAAGAGGGUCUUUCCCUCCCUAGCAUGAUGAUCUUGGGAAGUCUCAAGACUGUGAUGAUAACAACUUAAAAAGAUUAAAGGAAGAGUAUUUAGUGGACAGAAGGGUGAAAAAAGAUGAGACUGGACCAUAAAUGAACAAUGGCUGAGUUGAAAUGUGUAAGGAACAAAAUGAUGGGGAAAUAGCCAUCAUGGUGGUCAAACAGUUAUGUCUGAGUGUGGAGAAGCCCGGCUACGAGGUCAUUGUGCCUGCUUGGGGGAUCCAGUCUUAACUGGCCCUAAAGCCAGAAAAGGGCUGAUGAAGCUAUGGGGGAAUGCAGGUAUACAUGCUGCUGCUCUCCUGUGUGGGAUUGGUGAACUCUGCUUGGGCCCUUUGGUAAUCCAGCAAUAAAAAUGGUCAGUAUUAGAUUCUUCAGUGCGAUUUAGAUCUCCUGGAUCUCAGCAUAACAAUUAUGUGUGUAACACCUAUUCACAUCUUGUAUUUAUUAUCUUUAGAAGGCUUUACUUCAACCAUUACACUAGGAGUAAUUUUAGAUGUCAUUUCAAGUUGUGAAAAAGGUAAAAUAACACCAGCAGAUGUACCAUAGGGAGAUAUCCUCUUAAUAACUUAACUGAAGUGUUUGCCAUGGUUUUCAACAUGUGCUUCUGGCAUAAAUUCAGGAUUCGAGAUUCUGUUUUUUACUAAAUAUUCAUCACAUUUAUAUUAUAUCCUGAACGCUUUUUUCUCUGUUUCCUCUGUUUCAGGGAAACUUUCAUAGUGCUUUCAGCACCACCAAGAGAAAUUGCAAUUGCAAGGAGAGAAUGGCUGAAACUGUGCAGGCAGGGAUUGCAGUGUGCAGGGUACAAAUGAAAUCUCAGAAGAAUCACCUAGCUAUGAAAUACUAGCAACUUUUUCUUGCUGACUGAUUUUUCAGAACUUUGCAGCAUGUCCAAAUUUUGGAAGAUUUAUUUGGGAAUGGAGUUGGGACAAACCUCCAAACCACAGAAGUUCUUCAGUUUCUCAGUGGAAGGGUUGUUUUAAUGUCAAAUUAUGAAAAGCAGAAUGUUGCCGGGAACCUCAGAGUUUUAAAUGGAAAAUGCUAGUCAGCUCUGGUCAGUUCUGACUGCGUUAAUCUCUGCUGAAAUAGCUUGAUAGUUGUUUUCUUUUCUUUUGCUAGUGCUGCUUUAGCUUUCUUAUCAUGACAUUGAAGGGCUUUCAACAAGCAAGUUUGUUCAUUUGCACUUUUAUUAAAAAGCUAGUAAUUGCAGAUCAUGGAAAUUGCUGGCACUGUCCUUAGAGCACUGUAAAACAGUGUUGACUUAGCUUUAUCUACUCUGUGUACUUCUGCUUCAUUUGCAACUGGUGAGUUAUGGAGAACUGGAAGCAGUGAGUACCUUGUUGAGGGAGAAUAAAGUAAAAAGUCUUUGCAGUCUGGAUAUCAAGAGUUUCAUGGAUUUGGACAAAUUUGUUUUGUAUGUGGUUGUACAAGCUCAGUGACUUCUGAAGGUUGUAGUGGUGAACCCAGAUUAGAUGGCAACUAUAAAAAGGAGCAAAACAGGAUUUUCCGUAUUGAAUUCGGGGAAGCCAACAUCCCUAAAGUCUUCAAGAAAGCAGGCAUUUUCUUGUUUCGGGAGUCCUGCACAAGAAGCAAUCCUUGUCACUCUGUUCUGGUUUGAUCUCUAGCUAGUAGUUUCUGGGAUUCAGAUCAUCAUCAGCGAACUAGUGCUGUGGCAAUUCACUCAGAGUCUAAGUAGUACACAACAUUUUUUAAGUUAGCAAAAAUUUCUGUGCUGAAUAUUUCUGUUCUUUUGCAACACAGAAUAACAGUCUUUCCAAAUAUACUUAAAACUUCACAGAGAACUUGCCAGUAGCGAGCUGAUUAUUGAAUUAAUUCUGUAAAACAUUUAUAUUUUGCACAAUUCUUUAAUUCUUUUCAAAUUGUAUAUUUUAAAACUUGCUUUAUAAUCCUAUUUAAUUCAUGUGGCCUCCUCCUUUCAUUAUUUUUAAUGUAAUUAAAUUCCGUGAGACUUUUUCAUAAAGAUUGUUGAGCUGUUUCCAGAAAAUUCAUUGUUAGUUGUACUUCAAACUGUCUGUUUUGUUCUAGUGUUAGAAAUCCCCUUCUCUACCAUUUCUACCUCCAUGCUGAGCCUAAGUACAUAUCUAUGCAUGAUGGAUGUUUUUGAUAAUUUGUUUUAAGCUGGUGGAAUAUUUAUAAAGACAAAGAAGAGGAAAAAAAAGAAAGUGGGUUCUGUGUGUUGGCAGAACACAGAUGCAGCUAAUAAGAAGUGACGCUAUGUAUGAGCACAGUGGGGUGUACUUUUUCUGGCUCCAGGUGCAAACCAGCAGGAUUUCAAGUGCAUUCUCUCAUCACUUGUCCUAGUCCUGAUGCCUGCAAUGUGAGUGCAGUCAGGGAUGGAAGAGGAAGAGGAUGUGGAGGAGCAGGACCACGUGUACACAGUGCCAAGCACAAGUGGAUGCUUCUUGUGAGAGCCAGCAUCUUGGCUGCUUUAUACACCCAUAGGCAAGCCAAGACUUCAGUCUCUAUCAUUGGCUCAGUAACACAAAAAAGAGGAGCUGAAGUAGUGGAGUCAAGUUUUAAAUGAACUGAUGACUUUUAUGAAAGAAUACAAAUCACUUUAAAGCCUUUUCUGGAGUUCAAAAAUAGGCCAAGCUAUUUGUACUGACACUGCUGAUGUGUUUUCUUCCCUAAGUGAAGGUUUAUGUGAAGACAUCUGUUAGCUGGACCCAAGAUUUUGCUCAUACAACCUGCCUGAAAUUUUUUUUUUUUUAAAAAGAAAAAGGUAUAGGAAGAAGACAAGCUUGCAGAAUGGGAAUUAAAUAGAUUUCCUGACAUAAUAAGAGAAGGGCUUUUUACAACUUCAACUUGAUUUUCACAAUUUCAAGCUGUAGUAAAAUCUCUUUAAGCAAAGAACUGAUUUGCUGGAUUACUGACUGCUAGAAGUUGUUGGUUGCUGCUUUGGCACUUUCAGACAGACGUGGCUGCCAAUUGUAAAGAGAAAAAAAAUCUUUUUCAGACACUGUGAAAUAUUAAUGUGGAAUAUAUCAAGAAACUUCUGCAAAAAUCUCAUGAUGGAAAUUCAAUGCAGCUGAAUGUUACCGUCCUGUGUCAAACUUUUCCUGAUAUGGAUUCACAGCUACAAUAUAUUUGUGUAACUAGUUAUCUGCAGCCCAUUCAUCAUCAUAUUUUGUCUACAACAUGAAAUGAUGAAGAAUGCAAUGACAGUAUGAAAACAGGAAGAAUUAUGUUUAGCUACUGUCAGCAUUGGAUUAUUUUUUCCACAUUCCAUAAGUGUGCUUGUACAAAGCACUUGUAAUUGCAGAUUUAACUGAGAAAAAAAGUUGAUGAUAAAAAUUAGUACUUAUUAUAUACAUAAUUAAAAGUUACUAGCAUUAUCUUUUAUUAAGAGAGGAGAAAAAGUUGAGGUUAUGCAGUAGCUUCUGACCUGAGACUCCAGUGCUGUGGUCCAGAUAAUGCUCACCAGAGUGUUUGUUCAUUUGCUGUUAAGAUACAUGCAAAAGGAUUUGUCAUACAAAUUAACAAAUUAGCAGCAUUAUAUUUGCAUUGCAACAGCUCCAGUCAGUACAAGAUCAUCACACUAACAGUACAAACAAAUAUUUCUGACCUGCAGAGCUUAAAGUCUAAAUUCAGACUCAAUAAACAAAGAAAAUAAAUGGAAAGACUGGAGAAAAGGACGGGCGGGAAACAAUGAUAAGAACACUUAGUUGCAUAGGCCAUGUACAUGCAUAAUUGCAGCUCUAUUUAUAAGCUAGAACUAAACAUGAGAUAUUAAUGAGGUUAGUAAUCCCUGCUGGCCAGCUGCCUAGCCAUUAAAGGAACGAUGAUUUGUCUGGAAGGAGAAUAUUCCUACACCCUGCUGUGUUGCUGAGAAGGAUUGUAUAAAUGCCAAGGGGUUUAUUCAGUUUCUUAAUGCUGCUGGCCUUACCUUCUUGAGUCAGCUAUGCAAAGGCAGAAGUACUACCACUUAUGGCUAUAUAUUCCCUUCCAUCCUGUUUAAUACUGCGGUGAAAUUAGGCUUGAUCUCUUUAUGUCCCUUCUGACUCCUGCAAUUCUGUGGUUCUGUGGAAGUUCUUUCCCAUGCCAUUCUCUACAAGGAAACCGCUUGACAUGGUGGAGUAAAAGAACACUUGUAACACCAGAGAGAUUAAAAGUGGCCUCCUUUUUAAUGACAGGGCUUUUUGUUUUAGUGGCAACAGGAUCUCUCAUAAUAUGCA